rnacentral:rRNA from 1 species
GGAAAUCUCACCAGGCCCGGACACUGGAAGGAUUGACAGAUUGAUAGCUCUUUCUUGAUUCGGUGGGUGGUGGUGCAUGGCCGUUCUUAGUUGGUGGAGUGAUUUGUCUGGUUAAUUCCGAUAACGAACAAGACUUUAACCAACUUAAUAGCUUAAACUUGGGGAAGAAUGGCACAAGGCCGCGAGGUUCUACUGCCGUUCGAGUUUAAACUUCUUAGAGGAACUAGCUAUAGUAAAUAGCAUGAAGGAAAGCAAUAA